UGCCCACCAGCUAGCCCACAACUACAACAGCAACUUGUAAGUAUAGAUAAUCCAAAAUGUACUAACAUUCACCUAGACAAACCAUUUUUCCCCCUUAGUAUAGGCGAUAGAAAAGAAAAUAGGAGCUAUAGAGAUAGUACCGCAAGGGAAUGCUGAAAGAGAAAUGAAAUAAACCAGUGAAGCCCCCAAAAGCAGAGAUUUUCCCUCGUACCUUUUGCAUCAUGAUUUAGCCAGCGUGCUCAAGCAAAGCGAAUUUUAGUUUGAUACCCCGAAACCAAGUGAGCUACUUCAAGACAGCCUAUUUAUAGGGCAAACCCGUCUCUGUGGCAAAAGAGUGGGAAGAUCUUCAAGUAGAGGUGACAGACCUACCGAACUUUGUUAUAGCUGGUUGCCCGGGAAUUGAAUAGAAGUUCAGCCUACUAGAUUCUUACCUAAACCCAGUACUACACUCGUGAUAGAAUAAGAAGCUAGAAGAGUUAGUCAAAGGGGGUACAGCCCCUUUGAACCAAGAUACAGCUUUUAUGGGAGACUCAAGAUCCUA
rnacentral:rRNA from 1 species